CAGCGAUAACAGGAGCGGUGGUCUGCUCAACAUUGGAACAACCCUGCUGCUGGAACUUUAUGACGAUUUUAAAGGUGUCAUCACCACGAAGGGCAAUACUGUCGCAAUUAACAAGGCGAGGGUGAUGGCUUGGCAAAAAAUGCUGACAGAUUAAAUGCGUAAAUUAUAGCCUAGGCCUACUUAUUGUUUAAUUUUUUAUCUUUAAUAAAUGAACGUACAGAUCACUAGAUAAGACUGGCUAGAUUAUCAUCAGGCUAGAUAAUAUCAGAUGUAUGAUCAGUCAACAUGUUGUUGUAGGUUAACUUACGUGAACUGAUUACAAGGCGUUUAGUGUUUAUUAGCCUAAUUCGGUGAGGCAUGAAGCCUUUCUGACCUAGUAACACUUGGCCUAUAUUCAUUCUCGGCGGUUACAUCUCAACAGGUGCCAACUCAAUAGCCAAAAAACAACUUCGAUAUUAGAUAUCAAGCAACUUCCAUCGCAGAUCAUCUGACAGCAUAGAGGGGGACCAAUGAUGUGAACCAAUUUGUUUGGAAGGGAUUUAAUUGAAAAUUGCAGCAUGACUAAGAAAAGUUGAUGCGAUGGUGUCUUUCAAAAUGUACAUUCCAGUCAGAAUUAUUUCAACUUUGCUCACAUUUCAGAAUAAUAUUUUUAACUUCAGGUCUGACAUUGCAUGAGAUUUCAAAUAUGGUUUUGCAUAGUUCUUCUGCAACUGCAUGUUAAUGCUAUGACAUACUUGGUUAGGAAAUGAAAUACUGUACCAGAUUGUUUUUAUCAUUGAUCAGUGCUGAAAAGGUAAAGGGAAACCUUAUCUCUGUAGAGUACAGUUACUUCUUUGUGUAAGGCUGAUGUGGAGGGUUAGAAAAUGGCCUCUAUUAAAAGGUAAUCCUAAUAUCAGACACCCCCCUUAUUUUUUGAACAUUGUGUACUAUUUUAACAAUUGUCUUACCAGUUACAAAACUGUAGUUACUCGACCUGACCAAUAGGUGCUGCUGUGGAGUUGCAUUAGGGAGGCAACGGUCCUGAAUUCGCGCAGAAAUAAAUAUGUGCUCAGACCAUUGUGACUAUCUCCUAACACGUGAAGGUUUAACUGUUAUUUCACUGUUCUUGGACCCACUUCAAAACUGUAUCUAACCUUGUUGGCCGCUAAACCAGGUAGAUGACUGAUGUGAAUCUGUGACUUGGAGAUGUCUUGAAUUAGACAUAAAUACGAACAAUGCAUUGUCAGCGCAGGACUUUGACCAACUUAAUCUUUGGUGUUCUCUUCGUAAAUGUUAUCAAACUUUCAUCCCCUCUACAAGUUUCUUCAGUGGUCUGUAACUGCAGCAGCAUUACUUCAUGUUAUGGACAUUGUGUCACAUCCCAAGAUUAACUAGGUUUCAGAGGCAAGACACUGUGUCACUGUUUGGGUAAUUAGUGCCAGGAGUGGAAAGGGAAGUGGUUUCAACUCUGCUCAGCAGUCAUCAAUUUAGUGUGAGUACUAAAGCCUUCUCAGGUCUUUCAGUGAUUGCUGUAAGCAGGGUUCUUAUCAAGCGGCAGUAUUGUUGCCCAAAAAGAAGACUGAUGCCCAAACAAAAUUGUUCUGCUAUUAGUUGUUCUGUGUUAUCUGAGGAAAGAAAGAGAGGAAGGUUCAACACUACUUUGGAACUUCAGAAUCAUACUUUGGCUGCAGCUCGUCUAAUCUUCUUUCCCCUGACAAGACAACCAAUAUGGGAUUCCUUGAAGUGCUUGGAAUUCUAAGAUCUACUUCAAAUAAGGCCAAGUUCAUCUCAGCCUAUUCUGUCUUUUAUGUCUUUGACUUUUUGACAUUGACAGUCAUGGAUUACCUAAGAAAAUAACUACUAUUACAGCUUUGUCUGACUAUGUGUUUACCUAAAUCCAAAAACAUGGUUGUCAUCUAUCUUCCAUCGGGUGCCAUUUCCUCAACAAGCUUGAAACGUUGCUAAACACAUUUCUGAAAUAUGGCUCACCACUCACAUUACUGGCCAAUUUCAAAAUCUCCACUUCUCCUUUAAAUUUUAUUUAUUUCCACCUUUUUAUUUCCGCUUCAUUUUCACAUUAGACCUCAUGCUUUCCCACCAGAGAAAUACUGCAGUGAAUGUGACUGUAUGAGGAAGUUUUUAUAUUGGCAGUGUGGCCAGAAGGGGAGUUUCCCCCUACAGUUGAGGCUUGGUUGUGCCAAUUUACAGAUAGGGCUGUAUAGGGAAAAUGCAGGUUUCACUGUUUUCUGUCAGUGAUCUGGCAACCAUGCAAACAGGAUCUGACCAAUCCUGACAUUACGGAAAUUAUUAACAAGUGGAUCCUAGUUUCCUUUUACACCCAAUCAUGUCAAAAUAUUUCAGUGAAAUAUUAUAAUCCCUAAACUAUAUCCAAUCUGCGUAACAUCUCUUCAUGUUUCAAAUGACUUCUAGUAGAAUUUUUUUCAAUAGUGUUCAUGAGACAGACAGAUGACUGAUGAAAAGAUGAUUUGAGAAGGUUAUGUAGGUUACUGUCCCAAACUGAAUCAUAUAUGGAUUAUACUGUGUAAAAAUAUACAAUUAACAUAUUUAAGUCACUAACAAUAUAAAUAUAGGAACGUGAUGACACUGGAUCAGUGCAAGCAGGAUAAUGUAGCCAAAUACAGCUGAAGGAAUAUCAUGUCCAGAUUCCCUCCACCUGUACUGUCUUUAUGGUACAUCCCACCAGUUGUCACUUAUCUCCCUAUUAUCCCUUGUGUAUUUAAUCUGUGCCCUUCCCUGGUUCCUGUGCCAGUUCGUCUUGUGUCUUAUGGCAAAGGUCCUCACAUUGGUCUUGCUUUUCCUGUGCUCUUCGUGUUUAUCUCUAGAUCCCCUUUGUUCGGGGCUCCCGCCUAUUGCUUGCCUGUCCUUCAAGCCUUUUUUCUCUUAAGUCUGUGUGUGGGUCUAACUCUUGAGUCCUUAUAGGAAGUGGAGAGUGGGGGAUAAAUGAUGUGGCGUCAAGGCAAGUAUGGAGAAAAAACAGCACAUCCGUAAUAUAUACAGAUGCAUCUCAAAAAUUCUAAUACUGUGGAAAGGUUUUUUUUUUUAUUCUGAGCUCUUCUCUGGUCGACAUUUCUGUAUUUAUUCUAAUAGUUUCAGAUACUGGCUUUUUGAUUUCCAUGAGCUGUAGGCCAUAAUCAUCAAGAUUGACAAUUAACAACAACAAAGUCUAACAGUGGAAAUAAUAUUGACUGGGAUUCAUGUGUGAUUUCAUAUUUUCUUGUGAUUCCUCAAGUUUUAAAUAAACAUAGAUUUGAUGCUCAAUGGCAAAAUGUUUUCGGGUGGCUCAGACAUAAUGUAGAGGGAAUGAUAUGAUCUGCAUGCUACAAGCAUUGUGGAGACAAUGUGUUUGGGGGCUUAAACAGUCAAGCAGAAACUAUAGGCUGGAUGCACUUAAAUCCAAUAAAAUGUCUAUAAAUCCUGGACAGACAGGAGAACCAAAAAAAACACAUGAACGUGAAAACCUACAGUGGGGAGAACAAGUAUUUGAUACACUGCAGAUUUUGCAAGUUUUUCCUACUUACAAAGCAUGUAGAGGUCUGUAAUUUUUAUCA
ensembl:lncRNA